rnacentral:tRNA from 1 species
CGGGAUAUGGCGCAGUUUGGUAGCGCACCUGCUUUGGGAGCAGGGGGUCGCAGGUUCAAAUCCUGUUAUCCCGACUA